AUGGGUGGCGUAGCAGGCGCCAAGAAGGCGGCGGUCAUGUCAGUGUUCAUGCACGCGGAUGCCAUGGACAUGGCGCUGAUGGCGGUGGGCCUGGUGGGCGCCAUCGGCGAUGGCUUAUCGACACCGGUGAAGCUGCUCAUCACCGGCUUCAUCAUCAACGACCUCGGCAACAGCGGCCCGGAACACCUCCAGGAGUUGAGCUCCAAGAUGGACGAGAAUGCGAGGAACCUUGUCUUCUUGGCGUUGGGCAGCUGGGUCAUGGCGUUCCUAGAGGGGUAUUGCUGGUCACGGACGGCGGAGCGGCAGGCGUCGCGGAUGCGUGCACGCUACCUGGCAGCGGUGCUCCGGCAGGACGUGGAGUACUUUGACCUCAAGGUGGGGUCGACAGCGGACGUGAUUGCCAGCGUCUCCAACGACAGCCUGGUGGUGCAGGAUGUGCUGAGCGAGAAGGUGCCCAACCUGGUGAUGAACGCCGCCACCUUCGUUGGCAGCUACGCUGCCGGCUUUGCGCUAGUGUGGCAGCUAACCCUGGUGACGCUGCCUUCGAUCCUGCUCCUCGUCGUCCCGGGGUUCAUGUACGGCCGCAUCCUCAUGGGCCUCGCACGCCGGAUCAGGGAGCAGUACACGCGCCCGGGUGCCAUCGCCGAACAGGCUAUCUCGUCCGUGCGCACCGUGUGCUCCUUCGCCGCGGAGCGUGCCACCAUGGUGCAGUUCUCGGCGGCGCUCGGGGAGUCGGCGCGACUAGGGAUCAAACAAGGGCUCGCCAAGGGCAUCACCAUCGGCAGCAACGGCGUCACCUUUGCCAUCUGGGCCUUCAGCGUUUGGUACGGCAGCCGCCUCGUCAUGUACCAUGGCUACCAGGGCGGCACCGUCUCCGCGGUCUCCGCCGCUGCCGUCGUCGGUGGCCUGGCACUCGGGUCGGGGUUGUCGAACCUCAAGUACCUGUCGGAGGCGAGCGCGGCGGGGGAGAGGGUGCUGGAGGUGAUCAGGCGGGUGCCCAAGAUCGACUCGGGCAGCGACACGGGGGAGGAACUUCUCAACGUUGCCGGUGAGGUGGAGUUCAAGAACGUGGAGUUCUGCUACCCAUCGCGGCCAGAGAGCCCCAUCUUCGCCAACUUCAGCCUGCGCGUGCCGGCAGGUUGCACGGCGGCGCUUGUAGGCAGCAGCGGGUCCGGCAAGUCCACAGUGGUGGCACUGCUAGAGAGGUUCUAUGACCCGUCGGCCGGCGAGGUGGCGCUGGACGGCGUGGACAUCCGGCGGCUGCGGCUCAAGUGGCUGCGCGCGCAGAUGGGGCUUGUUAGCCAGGAGCCGGCGCUCUUCGCUACGACCAUCAUGGAGAACAUACUAGUUGGCAAAGAGGACGCCACGCCGGAGGAGGUCACCGCCGCCACCAAGGCCGCCAAUGCACAUAACUUCAUCUCCCAGCUGCCUCAAGGGUACGACACUCAGGUGGGUGAGCGUGGUGUCCAAAUGUCUGGAGGGCAGAAGCAGAGGAUUGCUAUAGCCAGAGCAAUCCUAAAGUCACCCAAGAUCCUCCUCCUUGAUGAAGCCACCAGUGCGUUGGAUACAGAGUCAGAGCGUGUCGUACAGGAGGCACUCGACCUGGCCUCCUUGGGUCGGACAACUUUCGUCAUUGCCCAUCGCCUCUCCACUAUCCGCAAUGCUGGCAUGAUUGCUGUCAUGCAGCAUGGUGAGGUCAAGGAGCUAGGCUCCCACGACGAGCUCAUUGCUGAUGAGAAUGGCCUCUACUCAUCGCUUGUUCGCCUUCAGCAGACUAGAGACUCAAAUGAGGUUGAUGAGGUUAGUGGAGCUGGCAGUACUUCCGUUGUGAGGCAGUCCAGCAGCCACGACAUCAGCAGGAGAUUCUCCUUGGCUAGCAGGUCCAGUUCAGACGGGUCAGUAGGUAAUGCUGACAGCAUUGAGGAGCCAAAGCUUCCUCCGCCAUCCUUCAGAAGGCUGCUCAUGCUUAACGCACCAGAGUGGAGGCAGGCGCUUAUGGGAAGCUUGAGUGCAGUUGUGUAUGGAGGCAUCCAACCUGCUUAUGCAUACGCCAUGGGAAACAUGAUAUCGGUCUAUUUCUUGACAGAUCACGACGAGAUCAAGGACAAAACAAGAAAGUAUGCACUCACCUUCAUCGCUCUUGCGGUGCUCUCGUUCUUGCUCAAUAUUGGACAACAUUACAACUUCUGUGCCAUGGGAGAAUACCUCACCAAGAGGGUCAGGGAACAGAUGCUCAGGAAAAUCCUCACUUUCGAGAUCGGAUGGUUCGACCGCGAUGAGAACUCCAGUGGUGCCAUAUGCUCACAGCUUGCCAAGGAUGCCAACGUUGUGAGGUCUCUAGUGGGUGACCGGAUGGCGCUGGUGACCCAGACAAUAUCUUCUGUGCUUAUCGCUUGCACCCUGGGUCUGGUCAUUGCCUGGCGUCUGGCCCUUGUCAUGAUAGCAGCGCAGCCUCUCAUCAUCGUCUGCUUCUAUGCUCGUAGUGUCUUAUUGAAGAGAAUGUCCAAGAAGUCAAUACAGGCACAAUCCGAAAGUAGCAAGCUAGCUGCUGAGUCCGUCUCCAACCUCCGUACCAUAACGGCCUUCUCAUCCCAAGAGCGCAUCUUAGGCCUCUUCAACCAUGCACAGAAUGGACCGCGGAAGGAAAGCAUCCGUCAAUCAUGGAUUGCCGGACUCGGCCUUGGCACUUCCAUGGGCCUGAUGACAUGCACAUGGGCCCUAGCCUUCUGGUAUGGUGGCAGGCUCAUGGCUGAGCACCGCAUUGCCACCAACGAACUCCUUCAGACCUACAUGAUUCUGAUAAGCACAGGGCGUGUGAUUGCUGAUGCAGGUAGCAUGACAACAGACCUAGCUAAGGGUGCUGAUGCAGUUGCUUCAGUAUUUGCUAUCCUUGACCGGGUAACAACCAUUGACCCAGACAACCCCGAGGGAUACAAGCCGGAGAAGCUCAAAGGUGAGGUGGACAUCACAGAAGUCGACUUUGCAUACCCUUCAAGGCCAAAUGUGAUCAUCUUCAAAGGAUUCUCAUUAAGCAUCCAACCAGGCAAGUCAACAGCACUGGUUGGGCAAAGUGGCUCUGGAAAGUCAACCAUCAUUGCACUUAUAGAGCGAUUCUAUGACCCUCUAAGGGGAAUGGUGAAAAUUGAUGGCAGGGACAUCAAAACAUAUAAUCUUCAAGCCCUGCGGCGGCACAUUGGCCUGGUCAGCCAGGAGCCAACACUAUUUGCAGGAACAAUCCGGGAGAACAUUGUGUAUGGCAUAGAAACGACAAGUGAGGACGAAAUUGAGAAUGCCGCAAGGUCUGCGAAUGCACACGAAUUCAUCAGCAACCUCGCGGAUGGAUAUGGUACAUGGUGUGGCGAGAGAGGUGUUCAGCUCUCAGGAGGGCAGAAGCAACGCAUUGCAGUGGCCCGUGCCAUCUUGAAGAACCCAGUAAUCUUGCUACUGGAUGAGGCUACAAGUGCAUUGGACAGCCAGUCCGAAAAGGUUGUACAGGAAGCACUUGAGAGAGUGAUGGUCAGCAGGACAAGUUUGGUCGUGGCACACAGGCUCAGCACAAUCCAAAACUGUGACCUUAUUGCCGUGCUUGACAAAGGAAUUAUUGUGGAAAAGGGCACACACUCGUCCCUCAUGUCAAAGGGUUCCUCGGGAACAUAUUAUAACUUAGUUAGUUUGCAACAAGGGGGCGACCAACACUAA
rnacentral:rRNA from 1 species